rnacentral:rRNA from 1 species
AUUGAACGCUGGCGGCAGGCCUAACACAUGCAAGUCGAGCGAGCGGCGGACGGGUGAGUAAUGUAUGGGGACUGCCCGAUAGAGGGGGAUAACUACUGGAAACGGUGGCUAAUACCGCAUCCUAUCUGCUAACCCAUAUGGGAUUAGAUAGUAGGUGAGGUAAUGGCUCACCUAGGCGACGAUCCCUAGCUGGUCUGAGAGGAUGAUCAGCCACACGGGGACUGAGACACGGCCCAGACUCCUACGGAGGAAGCAGUGGGGAAGAUUGCACAAUGGGCGCAAGCCUGAUGCAGCCAUGCCGGGUGUAUGAAGAAGGCCCUAGGGUUGUAAAGUACUUUCAGUCGGGAGGCGUUACCGACAGAAGAAGCACCGGCUAACUCCGGGCCAGCAGCCGCGGUAAUUC